UACGGGGGGGGCAAGCGUUGUUCGGAAUUACUGGGCGUAAAGGGCUCGUAGGCGGCCCCUCUCAGUCGGAUGUGAAAUCCCCAGGCUUAACCUGGGAACGGCAUCCGAUACUGGAGGGCGUUGAAUUCGGGGAGAGGGAUGCAGAAUUCCAGGUGUAGCGGUGAAAUGCGUAGAGAUGUGGAGGAACACCGUGGCGAAGGCGCACUCCU
rnacentral:rRNA from 1 species